AGAGAGAGACAUGCGCGCAUAUCAAUAAGCGGAGGAAAAGAAACUAACUAGGAUUCCCUUAGUAACGGCGAGUGAAGCGGGAAGAGCUCAAAUUUGAAAUCUUCAAGGUUCUACCUUGACGAAUUGUAGUUUAAAGAAGUGUUUUCUGUUAGGAAUUAGGUAAAAGUUCUUUGGAAAUAGGACAUCAAUAGAGGGUGAGAAUCCCGUAUUUGACUAUUCUUUCUAGCUUUGUGAUACACUUUCAAAGAGUCGGAUUGUUUGGGAAUGCAGUCCAAAAUGGGUGGUAAAUUUCAUCUAAAGCUAAAUACUGGCGAGAGACCGAUAGCGAACAAGUACCGUGAGGGAAAGAUGAAAAGAACUUUGAAAAGAGAGUUAAACAGUACGUGAAAUUGUCAAAAGGGAAGCGUUUGACACCAGUGUUGUUUUCUCGAAAAUCAAUUAAAAAUGCUGGAUUUUGUGUUGUAUUGACUUUAUCAGCUUUCUGCACUCUUUUCCUGUCUUUUUUAAUGCACUUUUCGUUUAACAAGUCAACAUCAAUUUCUUUUGUUGUAAAGGGUCAUUGGAAGGUGGCUUUCUUUUCGGAGAAAGUGUUUAUAGCCUUUGGCCUCUGCAAUCGGAGAGAUUGAGGUCUGCAGCGUAGAUCCUUCGGGGUUAGAUACAUUUGUGCUAAGUUAUAGCCUUUCAUAGACAACUUGUUGACUAUGAUCAGUCAUGUAGCUUACUCGCUUAUGUCUAUUUUACCUACGCUUAGGAUGUUGACAGCAGUAUAGACUGU
rnacentral:rRNA from 1 species